ensembl:snoRNA Small nucleolar RNA ACA64
ACAAUCUGAAAAUUACCUUCAGCAUGUGUAUUGCAGUGGGUGAGAUAAUUGUGCCUACACAAAGGCGGUUCAUUAAGCUUAUUGCCAGCUCCAUAGUUGUGCAAUGAAACCCAUGUACCUACAUUA